UCUCUCCCUCUCUCUCAUCAGUCGCGGUCUCCGCCGCCGCCGUAUCUUGCUCCUCGCGAGCUCCGCCGCGAACUGCUCCGGCGAGGACGACGGCCAGCCGAGCUUCCUCCCUUCGUCUCGUUUCUUCCUCCAUUCAAUUGUCAGCCCUAACUCACAAAUUGAAGGUCGCCGUCGCCGCUGCAACUGGGUGUCCGGCGAACGGCCGUCGUCUGCGUCUCUGAGGCCGCCGCCUUCGCUCGUCCUCCCUCCUUUCUCGAAGGGAAAGAAAAGCCCCAAUUCUCCCUUGAAGUUUCAAACGGGUUUUCUCCCCCAAAAUCCGAUCGGCCUUCCCUCUCAACUCCGGUUGGCUUCUCCUUCCCCGGCCGUUCAGCUUCCGCCAGCUCCGUCCGGCGUCAGCUGUCUCCGUGUCUAACCCCGGCGUCGCCCCUUCUCGGUUCAGCCACGUUGUUGCUGGUCCAGAAUCGGCGAGGGUCGUCGUGAGGUCAGGAGUCGUCUGCCUUUCACCGCUCGACGCCGACGAUGCUUCUGUCCCCGCGAGUUACCGCCCACUGGACGUAUCUCGGUCUGAACGAACAGGGCAGCAGCCCCUCAUUUCUAAAAGCUAAGUCCCCAUCUACUCUAUUGUAAAGCUUGAUUUUCCUUGUUGUGCUUAGUAUGUUGAGUUGCUCGAGUUCUACACACUAAUUCUUACAUAAAAUAAAUGUAACUGGUGUUCUGCAUUAUGAAGUGUAACUACGCUGCUAAGUCCAUUAUGCUUAUAUAGGUC
rnacentral:lncRNA from 1 species